rnacentral:rRNA from 9 species
AAUCCAUAGGUUAAUGAGGCGAACCGGGGGAACUGAAACAUCUAAGUACCCCGAGGAAAAGAAAUCAACCGAGAUUCCCCCAGUAGCGGCGAGCGAACGGGGAGGAGCCCAGAGCCUGAAUCAGCAUGUGUGUUAGUGGAAGCGUCUGGAAAGGCGCGCGAUACAGGGUGACAGCCCCGUACACAAAAGCGCAUGUGCUGUGAGCUCGAUGAGUAGGGCGGGACACGUGGUAUCCUGUCUGAAUAUGGGGGGACCAUCCUCCAAGGCUAAAUACUCCUGACUGACCGAUAGUGAACCAGUACCGUGAGGGAAAGGCGAAAAGAACCCCGGCGAGGGGAGUGAAAAAGAACCUGAAACCGUGUACGUACAAGCAGUGGGAGCACAGGUUUACC